rnacentral:rRNA from 1 species
CAGUCGCCGCGGGAAAACGUAGGUGGCAAGCGUUGUCCGUAAUUAUUGGGCGUAAAGGGCUCGCAGGCGGUUUCUUAAGUCUGAUGUGAAAGCCCCCGGCUCAACCGGGGAGGGUCAUUGGAAACUGGGAAACUUGAGUGCAGAAGAGGAGAGUGGAAUUCCACGUGUAGCGGUGAAAUGCGUAGAGAUGUGGAGGAACACCAGUGGCGAAGGCGACUCUCUGGUCUGUAACUGACGCUGAGGAGCGAAAGCGUGGGGAGCGAACAGGAUUAGAUACCCCUGUAGUCCCUGUCUCUUAUAC